GACAGAGGCCUCAAGCGUUAGGCGGAAUCACUGGGCUUAAAGCGUGUGUAGGCGGGUCGUUAAGUACCUUGUGAAAUCCCACGGCUCACCCGUGGAACUGCUGGGUAUACUGGGCGAUCUUGGGCCAACUAGGGGCAACUGGAACAAGCGGUGGAGCGGUGAAAUGCGUAGAUAUCGCUUGGAACGCCAAAGGUGAAAACAGGUUGCUGGGGUUGUGCCGACG
rnacentral:rRNA from 1 species